rnacentral:rRNA from 1 species
AGUGAACGCUGGCGGUAGGCCUAAUACAUGCAAGUCGAACGGCAGCACAGUAAGAGCUUGCUCUUACGGGUGGCGAGUGGCGGACGGGUGAGGAAUACAUCGGAAUCUACUUUUUCGUGGGGGAUAACGUAGGGAAACUUACGCUAAUACCGCAUACGACCUACGGGUGAAAGCAGUGGAUCUUCGGACCUUGCGCGAUUGAAUGAGCCGAUGUCGGAUUAGCUAGUUGGCGGGGUAAAGGCCCACCAAGGCGACGAUCCGUAGCUGGUCUGAGAGGAUGAUCAGCCACACUGGAACUGAGACACGGUCCAGACUCCUACGGGAGGCAGCAGUGGGGAAUAUUGGACAAUGGGCGCAAGCCUGAUCCAGACAUACCGCGUGGGUGAAGAAGGCCUUCGGGUUGUAAAGCCCUUUUGUUGGGAAAGAAAAGCAGCAGGUUAAUACCGCGCUGUUCUGACGGUACCCAAAGAAUAAGCACCGGCUAACUUCGUG